GAGCAUAGUAGCCACGACGCGCGGCAGC
rnacentral:sRNA from 1 species